rnacentral:lncRNA from 1 species
UCCAGUUGUCGGAGGAGACCGUUAUUUAUGCCUCAACGACCAGGAGAGAAAAGCCCAUCAGGCUCAAAAAGAGGCCCAACUAAUCAAGCCGGGAAACAAUUGUGAGCAGGCUGAGAAAGUUGGCCCAGAAAUAUUCCUUUCUAUCAAUGAAAUAAUAAAAGCCUGCAGAAAAGAAUACUAAAAAACUGAUCCCUCUCAACAAGCAGCCAUAAACCAAAUAUUAAAAACCGAAAGCAAACUCCCCCGUCCCAAGUCAACCAAACCGGGA